rnacentral:rRNA from 1 species
GACUCGUCACACUAUCAUUAACUGAAUCCAUAGGUUAAUGAGGCGAACCGGGGGAACUGAAACAUCUAAGUACCCCGAGGAAAAGAAAUCAACCGAGAUUCCCCCAGUAGCGGCGAGCGAACGGGGAGGAGCCCAGAGCCUGAAUCAGCAUGUGUGUUAGUGGAAGCGUCUGGAAAGGCGCGCGAUACAGGGUGACAGCCCCGUACACAAAAGCGCAUGUGCUGUGAGCUCGAUGAGUAGGGCGGGACACGUGGUAUCCUGUCUGAAUAUGGGGGGACCAUCCUCCAAGGCUAAAUACUCCUGACUGACCGAUAGUGAACCAGUACCGUGAGGGAAAGGCGAAAAGAACCCCGGCGAGGGGAGUGAAAAAGAACCUGAAACCGUGUACGUACAAGCAGUGGGAGCCCCACCACUAAGCCAGUGGUGAACUCCACAUACGCAUCCUUUGCUGAGGAUACG